rnacentral:rRNA from 1 species
AGAGUUUGAUCAUGGCUCAGAACGAACGCUGGCGGCAGGCCUCAAACAUGCAAGUCUAGGGGGUGUAGCAAUACAUCACCGGCGGACGGGUGCGUAACACGUGGGAAUAUACCUUUUGGUUCGGAACAACGCAGGGAAACUUGCGCUAAUACCGAAUGUGCCCUUACGGGGAAAGAUUUAUCGCCAAAGGAUUAGCCCGCGUAGGAUUAGCUAGUUGGUGAGGUAAUGGCUCACCAAGGCUCCGAUCCUUAGCUGUUCUGAGAGGAAGAUCAGCCACACUGGGACUGAGACACGGCCCAGACUCCUACGGGAGGCAGCAGUUGGGAAUCUUGGACAAUGGGGGAAACCCUGAUCCAGCCAUGCCGCGUGAGUGAUGAAGGCCUUCGGGUUGUAAAACUCUUUCGACGGGGACGAUAAUGACGGUACCCGUAGAAGAAGCUCCGGCUAACUUCGUGCCAGCAGCCGCGGUAAUACGAAGGGGGCUAGCGUUGUUCGGAAUUACUGGGCGUAAAGCGCGCGCAGGCGGUCUUCCAAGUCAGUGGUGAAAGCCCGGAGCUCAACUCCGGAACUGCCAUUGAAACUGUAAGACUUGAGGAUGAGAGAGGUGAGUGGAAUUCCCAGUGUAGAGGUGAAAUUCGUAGAUAUUGGGAAGAACACCGGUGGCGAAGGCGGCUCACUGGCUCAUUUCUGACGCUCAGGCGCGACAGCGUGGGGAUCAAACAGGAUUAGAUACCCCGGUAGUCC